UACGUAGGGGGCAAGCGUUGUCCGGAUUUAUUGGGCGUAAAGAGCGUGUAGGCGGUUUUACAGGUCUGCUGUGAAAACUCGAGGCUCAACCUCGAGCUGUCGGUGGAAACCGUAAGGCUAGAGUCCGGAAGAGGAGAGUGGAAUUCCUGGUGUAGCGGUGAAAUGCGCAGAUAUCAGGAAGAACACCCGUGGCGAAGGCGGCUCUCUGGGACGGUACUGACGCUGAGACGCGAAAGCGUGGGGAGCGAACAGG
rnacentral:rRNA from 1 species